UACAGAGGGUGCGAGCGUUAAUCGGAGUUACUGGGCGUAAAGGGCGCGUAGGCGGUUGGAUGUGUGUGAUGUGAAAGCCCCGGGCUUAACCCGGGAAGUGCAUCGCGAACUAUCCAACUGGAGUACAAGAGAGGGUGGCGGAAUUUCCGGUGUAGCGGUGAAAUGCGUAGAGAUCGGAAGGAACGUCAAUGGCGAAGGCAGCCACCUGGCUUGAUACUGACGCUGAGGCGCGAAAGCGUGGGGAGCGAACAGG
rnacentral:rRNA from 1 species